CUAACAGGAUUCCCCUAGUAACUGCGAGUGAAGCGGGAAAAGCUCAAAUUUAAAAUCUGGUGGCCUUUGGUCAUCCGAGUUGUAAUUUAGAGAAGCGUCUUCCGCGCUGGACCGUGCACAAGUCUCCUGGAAUGGAGCGUCAUAGAGGGUGAGAAUCCCGUCUUUGGCACGGACCCCAGGGCUUCUGUGAUGCGCUCUCGAAGAGUCGAGUUGUUUGGGAAUGCAGCUCAAAAUGGGUGGUGAACUCCAUCUAAAGCUAAAUACUGGCGAGAGACCGAUAGCGAACAAGUACCGUGAGGGAAAGAUGAAAAGCACUUUGGAAAGAGAGUGAAACAGUACGUGAAAUUGUUGAAAGGGAAACGCUUGAAGUCAGUCGCGUNGCCCGAGACUCAGCCUNGCCUCGGCUUGGUGUACUUCUCGGCUGACGGGUCAGCAUCAAUUUNGCCCCUCGGAUAAUGGCGAGGGAAAUGUGACACCUUUACGGGUGUGUUAUAGUCCCGCGUCGCAUGCGAGGGUCGGGAUUGAGGAACUCAGCACGCGCUUCGGCGUCGGGGCUUUGCCCACGAUACGUGCUUAGGAUGUUGGCGUAAUGGCUUUAAACGACCCGUCUUGAAACACGGACCAAGGAGUCUAACAUGCCCGCGAGUGUUCGGGUGGAAAACCCGUGCGCGAAAUGAAAGUGAAAGUUGGGACCUCUGUCGUGGAGGGCACCGACGCCCGGACCAGACCUUCUGUGACGGAUCUGCGGUGGAGCGUGUAUGUUAGGACCCGAAAGAUGGUGAACUAUGCCUGAAUAGGGUGAAGCCAGAGGAAACUCUGGUGGAGGCUCGUAGCGAUUCUGACGUGCAAAUCGAUCGUCAAAUUUGGGUAUAGGGGCGAAAGACUAAUCGAAC
rnacentral:rRNA from 1 species